GACGAACGCUGGCGGCGUGCUUAACACAUGCAAGUCGAACGGAAAGGCCCUGCUUUUGUGGGGUGCUCGAGUGGCGAACGGGUGAGUAACACGUGAGUAACCUGCCCUUGACUUUGGGAUAACUUCAGGAAACUGGGGCUAAUACCGGAUAGGAGCUCCUGCUGCAUGGUGGGGGUUGGAAAGUUUCGGCGGUUGGGGAUGGACUCGCGGCUUAUCAGCUUGUUGGUGGGGUAGUGGCUUACCAAGGCUUUGACGGGUAGCCGGCCUGAGAGGGUGACCGGGGCCACUGGGGGAGUGAGACGGGGCAGACACCGCCGGGAGGGGGCAGGGGGGGAAAUUUCGCACAGGGGGCGGACGCGUGGUGGCGACGCCCCGCGCGGGGUAUGGGGCUUCUGGGGUUGAAACGCUCUUUCCCGUGAGGCGAGGCGUGGGUGACGGAUGGGGGAAAAGACACCCGCGAAACCCAC
rnacentral:rRNA from 1 species